UCUCGCAAUGCACGGGGUGUCUCCGCUCGUGUCGAUGAACGUAUAGAAUCGGCCUUGGCGUUCGACUAUGAAGAGUAUCUCGACCACACACACUAUGCUUAUUGGAGCUUCGAAACCAGUUACGUGUAUUUUGCGUUCACCGGGAUCUCUCGGUGAGAUCAUCAAGCUGCGUUUCUACCUGUCCUGGGAAUCCUCGGUUCCACAUAUUUUAUUCAGUCCUGAAAACAGAAAAGGGAGGAUGUCGUACAAGACGGGUGGUUCCGUUCCCCCUCUGUCUUCCUUGUGGUGCGCUGAUUGCGUAAAAUUGCGUCCGUCAGAGGACAUCGAAAAUGGGCCAUACGACACGAGCCAGAUUUAGGUGUCACCAACCGGUACACCCGUCACCGGUCACCCCAUCCGGUUCAAAUGAAAGAUCCGGCGUACGAGUCCCUUGUCCACAGGGCAGCUUCCAAACUUACAAGAUUUCUUCAUAACCAGGUUGUGUACGAAGCAAAAGAAAAAAGAAAAAAAAAGAAAAGAAAGGAAAGAAAGGAA